rnacentral:rRNA from 1 species
GACGAACGCUGGCGGCGUGCCUAAUACAUGCAAGUCGAGCGAACAUUUGAGAGCUUGCUCUCAAAUGUUAGCGGCGGACGGGUGAGUAACACGUGGGCAACCUGCCUAUAAGACUGGGAUAACUUCGGGAAACCGGAGCUAAUACCGGAUAAUUCACAUCUACUCAUGUAGAUGUGCUGAAAGACGGUUUACGCUGUCACUUAUAGAUGGGCCCGCGGCGCAUUAGCUAGUUGGUGAGGUAACGGCUCACCAAGGCCACGAUGCGUAGCCGACCUGAGAGGGUGAUCGGCCACACUGGGACUGAGACACGGCCCAGACUCCUACGGGAGGCAGCAGUAGGGAAUCUUCCGCAAUGGACGAAAGUCUGACGGAGCAACGCCGCGUGAGUGA